rnacentral:rRNA from 1 species
GGCGAGUUACGAUUUGAUGCAAGGUUAAGCAGUAAAUGUGGAGCCGUAGCGAAAGCGAGUCUGAAUAGGGCGUUUAGUAUUUGGUCGUAGACCCGAAACCAGGUGAUCUACCCUUGGUCAGGUUGAAGUUCAGGUAACACUGAAUGGAGGACCGAACCGACUUACGUUGAAAAGUGAGCGGAUGAACUGAGGGUAGCGGAGAAAUUCCAAUCGAACCUGGAGAUAGCUGGUUCUCUCCGAAAUAGCUUUAGGGCUAGCCUCAAGUGAUGAUUAUUGGAGGUAGAGCACUGUUUGGACGAGGGGCCCCUCUCGGGUUACCGAAUUCAGACAAACUCCGAAUGCCAAUUAAUUUAACUUGGGAGUCAGAACAUGGGUGAUAAGGUCCGUGUUCGAAAGGGAAACAGCCCAGACCACCAGCUAAGGUCCCAAAAUAUAUGUUAAGUGGAAAAGGAUGUGGCGUUGCCCAGACAACUAGGAUGUUGGCUUAGAAGCAGCCAUCAUUUAAAGAGUGCGUAAUAGCUCACUAGUCGAGUGACACUGCGCCGAAAAUGUACCGGGGCUAAACAUAUUACCGAAGCUGUGGAUUGUCCUUUGGACAAUGGUAGGAGAGCGUUCUAAGGGCGUUGAAGCAUGAUCGUAAGGACAUGUGGAGCGCUUAGAAGUGAGAAUGCCGGUGUGAGUAGCGAAAGACGGGUGAGAAUCCCGUCCACCGAUUGACUAAGGUUUCCAGAGGAAGGCUCGUCCGCUCUGGGUUAGUCGGGUCCUAAGCUGAGGCCGACAGGCGUAGGCGAUGGAUAACAGGUUGAUAUUCCUGUACCACCUAUAAUCGUUUUAAUCGAUGGGGGGACGCAGUAGGAUAGGCGAAGCGUGCGAUUGGAUUGCACGUCUAAGCAGUAAGGCUGAGUAUUAGGCAAAUCCGGUACUCGUUAAGGCUGAGCUGUGAUGGGGAGAAGACAUUGUGUCUUCGAGUCGUUGAUUUCACACUGCCGAGAAAAGCCUCUAGAUAGAAAAUAGGUGCCCGUACCGCAAACCGACACAGGUAGUCAAGAUGAGAAUUCUAAGGUGAGCGAGCGAACUCUCGUUAAGGAACUCGGCAAAAUGACCCCGUAACUUCGGGAGAAGGGGUGCUCUUUAGGGUUAACGCCCAGAAGAGCCGCAGUGAAUAGGCCCAAGCGACUGUUUAUCAAAAACACAGGUCUCUGCUAAACCGUAAGGUGAUGUAUAGGGGCUGACGCCUGCCCGGUGCUGGAAGGUUAAGAGGAGUGGUUAGCUUCUGCGAAGCUACGAAUCGAAGCCCCAGUAAACGGCGGCCGUAACUAUAACGGUCCUAAGGUAGCGAAAUUCCUUGUCGGGUAAGUUCCGACCCGCACGAAAGGCGUAACGAUUUGGGCACUGUCUCAACGAGAGACUCGGUGAAAUCAUAGUACCUGUGAAGAUGCAGGUUACCCGCGACAGGACGGAAAGACCCCGUGGAGCUUUACUGUAGCCUGAUAUUGAAAUUCGGCACAGCUUGUACAGGAUAGGUAGGAGCCUUUGAAACGUGAGCGCUAGCUUACGUGGAGGCGCUGGUGGGAUACUACCCUAGCUGUGUUGGCUUUCUAACCCGCACCACUUA